rnacentral:lncRNA from 10 species
UCUGCUCUCUGCAUUGUUUUCUUUAGUUUUUGGUUCUGUUAAUUUUGGUGGUUGUUUUCCAUAUUCCGUAAUUGUCAUCUAUAUCCCAAAAAAUCACUGGAAUCUCUCUCUCUCUCUCUCUCUCUCUCUCUCUGUGUGUGUGUGUGUGUGUGUGUGUGUGUGUAUGAUGCAUAUUAGAGGAGGAGGACUUCUUAUUGGCUUUCCUGUAGGGUGAUCAAGCACCAAGCAGGAUAUAGAUCUUUUUAAUUUUUGGUGUGAGAAGACAGGAGAAUUCUCUUUCUUCAAAAAAGUCAGCUGCUUAUCAGGAUCUCUCUCUCUCUUCUCUCUCUCUGUCUCUCUCUCUGUCUCUCUCCAUCUGUCUCUUUCUCUCUCUUUCUUUCUUUUUUUUUUUUAUCUCAUCUCUAUUAUUGUUUGUAUACCUACCUGUUUCGAUUCUUGGACCUGGGUAGAAAAACAGAGUUAGAGAGCGUGCUUGUUACUAUUCAAGAUAGAGAAUUUCAUGUCUGUUUUUAACUCUGAGACUCAACUCUGUCUUCUGCUUUUCCAGGUGUUCCUGCAUUUGUACUUGUAGCUUUUCCAGUUCAAUAGAACUAGAGGAUCAGCCUCUGCUCCACCAUCUGGGCAGGGUGCGAGUGCAUGCGGGCCCGAGAAUUUGGAAGACUGCAAGUGCCUGGUGGUUUAAGCGAAAGUGAAUUCUUCCCUGAGCACUGAUAGGAUUGCCCAUGAGAAGAAAUCAUCUCUUCAGCCCUCUCGUCCUCCACAGGAACAGAAGGACACGUCCCAAGUGGCGAGCUGUGCAAGGCUGCAGACACUGGUACAGGCCACACAGCUGUAUUUUGUUAUUUGAUGAUAUCUCUGUCUCAUCCCCAUUGCUGGACCAGAUACCACUGAGGCAGGUGUCGUGGAAAGAAUUAGGACUUUGGGAUCAGGGCACAACUGGGUCUGAAUUUCAUCCCUGUCACUUAUUAGCUUUGCAAUCCUAGGAGAAUCAUUUAGAUUCUCUAAGCCUCUGUUUACUCAUUAAUUAAAAUGAAGAAAUAAUUCCUAUUUCUCAGGGCUGAUGUGAGGAUUAGUUUGAUGCAUAUUUAUGAAAGACUCUGGCAAAGAAAUGUUUUCAUAGAUGCCUGUAAAAUGAUUAAAUGAAUUGAUAUAUACUAUACGGCAUGAUGUUUGAAAAAAAUUGCUCUCACUUUCCUCAUCAUUAAAGCUUACAUUUUGGGAGUGGUGAUGGUGAGGAAUAUAGGGUCUAGGAAACCAAGCUAAACUUUUAGUGGCUACUACAAAGCCUGUACCAUUGUCUUUUCUCAGACGUCCUUAAUACAACCCCAAGAGGUGGGGAUUAGUUUUUCGGAAAUACAGGAUUCUGAUCUUAGCUUUGCCAGUUACUGAUGGGCCUUGGCAAAAUGGUUUGCCUGCCUGAACCUUAGUUUUCUAAUGUAUGUAAUGGGCAAGCAUUCCACUCACACAUGACUUCUAUCCUCAGGAGAGC